CAGAUUAUAUAAUUUCGUUGUAAUUAGUGUAAUGAGUUAUAAUAAAUCUUGUUCAACCAUCUUGGGUCUUUAUAAUUCCAAAACUAAAGUGGUACGAGAAGUUAGAUCGAGUGCGAAGGUGGAUUUCGUAUCCCUACUCUACAGGCAGCAGGGCGCACGCAUUGUAAAAAGAAAGAUGUUAAUUUUUGAAAAAAUUUAUGAUUCUGAUAUCUACUUAUUACCUCAUCUCCUUGUCACUCUUUGAGACAAAUGGUCUAAAAAUCAGACACUUGUUUUUAUGGUGCAGCCUCACUAGUCUAAGUCUAAUGACAUGAAAAUCGCUAUAUAUAUGGUUAAGAACGUUCAAAAACUAUUCUCAAAGUUUCAAAGUCAAUUACCGCGCAUACUUUUGAGAUGUGCAUCAUCAAAAAGGCUUGAGACCAGAUUUCCCGAGUUCCAAUAGUUGAUUGGAUGAAUACGAUGAAAACUCAAUUGUUCAUUUAUAUAAAGGCUGAAAACGUGAUGCAUGAAGUAUUUUAUUCAUAGACGAUGUUAUAGAACUGAAGAAGGCAUCCUACUCAAUCAUCACCACACCGAAAUGGUAUUCAGCUGAUUUUUCUCUCCUCCGAAAAUGUAGAUUUCAUGUACAUCGAACGGCAGGUAAAGAAGAUUUCAAGAGGAGUCCUCGUCUGCGCCU